rnacentral:rRNA from 1 species
UACGGGGGGAGCAAGCGUUGUUCGGAUUUACUGGGCGUAAAGGGCGCGUAGGCGGUCGUGACAAGUCACUUGUGAAAUCUCCGGGCUUAACUCGGAACGGUCAAGUGAUACUGUCGGACUAGAGUACAGAAGGGGCAACUGGAAUUCUCGGUGUAGCGGUGAAAUGCGUAGAUAUCGAGAGGAACACCUGCGGCGAAGGCGGGUUGCUGGGCUGAUACUGACGCUGAGACGCGAAAGCGUGGGGAGCGAACGGG